AGAGUUUGAUCCUGGCUCAGGACGAACGCUGGCGGCGUGCUUAACACAUGCAAGUCGAACGGAAAGGCCCUUCGGGGUACUCGAGUGGCGAACGGGUGAGUAACACGUGGGUGAUCUGCCCUGCACUUUGGGAUAAGCCUGGGAAACUGGGUCUAAUACCGAAUAUGACCAUGCACUUCCUGGUGUGUGGUGGAAAGCUUUUGCGGUGUGGGAUGGGCCCGCGGCCUAUCAGCUUGUUGGUGGGGUAAUGGCCUACCAAGGCGACGACGGGUAGCCGGCCUGAGAGGGUGACCGGCCACACUGGGACUGAGAUACGGCCCAGACUCCUACGGGAGGCAGCAGUGGGGAAUAUUGUACAAUGGGCGCAAGCCUGAUGCAGCGACGCCGCGUGAGGGAUGACGGCCUUCGGGUUGUAAACCUCUUUCAGCACAGACGAAGCGCAAGUGACGGUAUGUGCAGAAGAAGGACCGGCCAACUACGUGCCAGCAGCCGCGGUAAUACGUAGGGUCCGAGCGUUGUCCGGAAUUACUGGGCGUAAAGAGCUCGUAGGUGGUUUGUCGCGUUGUUCGUGAAAACUCACAGCUUAACUGUGGGCGUGCGGGCGAUACGGGCAGACUUGAGUACUGCAGGGGAGACUGGAAUUCCUGGUGUAGCGGUGGAAUGCGCAGAUAUCAGGAGGAACACCGGUGGCGAAGGCGGGUCUCUGGGCAGUAACUGACGCUGAGGAGCGAAAGCGUGGGGAGCGAACAGGAUUAGAUACCCUGGUAGUCC
rnacentral:rRNA from 1 species